UGACAAGGGCAAACCGAUUGAAAAGUCGGGACGCAAAGCCUCCGGUCUAAAGGCGCUGUUGAUCUGGGAUAGCGGGGCCACCA
rnacentral:ncRNA from 1 species